rnacentral:rRNA from 1 species
CGGACGGGUGAGUAACGCGUGGAUAACCUACCUAUAAGACUGGGAUAACUUCGGGAAACCGGAGCUAAUACCGGAUAAUAUAUUGAACCGCAUGGUUCAAUAGUGAAAGACGGUUUUGCUGUCACUUAUAGAUGGAUCCGCGCCGCAUUAGCUAGUUGGUAGGGUAACGGCUUACCAAGGCGACGAUGCGUAGCCGACCUGAGAGGGUGAUCGGCCACACUGGAACUGAGACACGGUCCAG